GGCACGGUAGCACAGUGGUUAAGUGCACUUGACUUGGAAUCAAUAGGUCCUGAGUUUGAAUCCUUGCCA